GAUGAACGCUGGCGGCGUGCCUAAUACAUGCAAGUCGAGCGAACGGACGAGAAGCUUGCUUCUCUGAUGUUAGCGGCGGACGGGUGAGUAACACGUGGAUAACCUACCUAUAAGACUGGGAUAACUUCGGGAAACCGGAGCUACUACCGGAUAAUAUUUUGAACCGCAUGGUUCAAAAGUGAAAGACGGUCUUGCUGUCACUUAUAGAUGGAUCCGCCCUGCAUUAGCUAGUUGGUAAGGUAACGGCUUACCAAGGCAACGAUGCAUAGCCGACCUGAGAGGGUGAUCGGCCACACGGGAACUGAGACACGGUCCAGACUCCUACGGGAGGCAGCAGUAGGGAAUCUUCCGCAAUGGGCGAAAGCCUGACGGAGCAACGCCGCGUGAGUGAUGAAGGUCUUCGGAUCGUAAAACUCUGUUAUUAGGGAAGAACAUAUGUGUAAGUAACUGUGCACAUCUUGACGGUACCUAAUCAGAAAGCCACGGCUAACUACGUG
rnacentral:rRNA from 1 species